rnacentral:rRNA from 1 species
AGAGUUUGAUCAUGGCUCAGAUUGAACGCUGGCGGCAGGCCUAACACAUGCAAGUCGAGCGGUAGCACAGAGAGCUUGCUCUCGGGUGACGAGCGGCGGACGGGUGAGUAAUGUCUGGGAAACUGCCUGAUGGAGGGGGAUAACUACUGGAAACGGUAGCUAAUACCGCAUAAUGUCGCAAGACCAAAGUGGGGGACCUUCGGGCCUCAUGCCAUCAGAUGUGCCCAGAUGGGAUUAGCUAGUAGGUGGGGUAACGGCUCACCUAGGCGACGAUCCCUAGCUGGUCUGAGAGGAUGACCAGCCACACUGGAACUGAGACACGGUCCAGACUCCUACGGGAGGCAGCAGUGGGGAAUAUUGCACAAUGGGCGCAAGCCUGAUGCAGCCAUGCCGCGUGUGUGAAGAAGGCCUUCGGGUUGUAAAGCACUUUCAGCGGGGAGGAAGGCGGUGAGGUUAAUAACCUCAGCGAUUGACGUUACCCGCAGAAGAAGCACCGGCUAACUCCGUGCCAGCAGCCGCGGUAAUACGGAGGGUGCAAGCGUUAAUCGGAAUUACUGGGCGUAAAGCGCACGCAGGCGGUCUGUCAAGUCGGAUGUGAAAUCCCCGGGCUCAACCUGGGAACUGCAUUCGAAACUGGCAGGCUAGAGUCUUGUAGAGGGGGGUAGAAUUCCAGGUGUAGCGGUGAAAUGCGUAGAGAUCUGGAGGAAUACCGGUGGCGAAGGCGGCCCCCUGGACAAAGACUGACGCUCAGGUGCGAAAGCGUGGGGAGCAAACAGGAUUAGAUACCCUGGUAGUCCACGCCGUAAACGAUGUCGAUUUGGAGGUUGUGCCCUUGAGGCGUGGCUUCCGGAGCUAACGCGUUAAAUCGACCGCCUGGGGAGUACGGCCGCAAGGUUAAAACUCAAAUGAAUUGACGGGGGCCCGCACAAGCGGUGGAGCAUGUGGUUUAAUUCGAUGCAACGCGAAGAACCUUACCUGGUCUUGACAUCCACAGAACUUUCCAGAGAUGGAUUGGUGCCUUCGGGAACUGUGAGACAGGUGCUGCAUGGCUGUCGUCAGCUCGUGUUGUGAAAUGUUGGGUUAAGUCCCGCAACGAGCGCAACCCUUAUCCUUUGUUGCCAGCGGU